GGAAGCAUGGCCGAGCGGUUUAAGGCAACAGUCUUGAAAACUGUAGUACUGUAAAAGGUACCGUGAGUUCGAAUCUCACUGCUUCCU
rnacentral:tRNA from 1 species